rnacentral:misc_RNA from 1 species
ACGGGAUUUAUAUUUUGGUUUUUUCUUGGACCAAAAAAUCUCCAUGACCCUUUUUUUGUUUAUUCAAAAAUUGUUAUUUCUUCGGUAAGACGUUUCUUUUUUUUGGUUUGUUUCAAAUCAAAAAGAGGAGCUAUUGAUAAACUUUUCUUUGACAAGAAAAGUUUAUGAAUAUGUUGCUUACCGAAGUACCUUACUCUUUUAUUUUAACGUCUGAGUUAUACAAAAAAAUAAAUUA